AUUAUUUUUUUAAAUUAUGUUUUUACAGAUGGCAGGGUUUGCUCUCUUCAGAAAAUAUAAAACUCGGUACAUCAAAGUACUAAGCUACAUCUGGAACAACUUUCUACAAGAAUUGAAAGCAUGUGAAGAUCCAGUUCGUGAAGAUCUAAAGUUAAGUGCAACAAUCAGGGACAUUCAAAACUACAUGGAGGAUAAGUUGUUCCUUAAGGAGCCAGGGGAAAGGGCCCUGACGGGUGGUGCAUUGCUAUCAGAUGUUUUUCUGUGCAAAAGCCAAACAAUUGGCUUUCUUUUCAGUAAGAUGCACUUUUGAAGCUGUAUGUUUCUUCACAGUAGUGGAAAUACUUCCAGGCUGUUCCAAGUAACGUGGUUGAAGGAUAUUGGUUUCAUAUAUGACCGAAAUAAUUUAAGCAAAGUUUGUG